rnacentral:rRNA from 1 species
CCUACGGGGGGUAGCAGUGAGGAAUAUUGGUCAAUGGGCGCGAGCCUGAACCAGCCAAGUCGCGUGAGGGAUGACGGCCCUACGGGUUGUAAACCUCUUUUGCCGGGGAGCAACGGGCGUCACGUGUGGCGCCACUGAGAGUACCCGGAGAAAAAGCACGGGAUAAUUCCGUGCCAGCAGCCGCGGUAAUACGGAGGAUGCGAGCGUAAUCCGUAUUUUUGGGGUUUAGGGGGUGCGUAGGCGGAUCGUUAAGUCAGUGGUCAAAUUGAGGGGCUCAACCCCUUCCCGCCAUUGAAACUGGCGCUCUUGAGUGGAAGAGAGGUAUGCGGAAUGCGUGGUGUAGCGGUGAAAUGCAUAGAUAUCACGCAGAACCCCGAUUGCGAAGGCAGCAUGCCGGCUUCCGACUGACGCUGAAGCACGAAAGCGUGGGGAUCGAACAGGAUUAGAUACCCCAGUAGUC